UACGAAGGGGGCGAGCGUUGUUCGGAUUUACUGGGCGUAAAGAGCUCGUAGGCGGUUUGUCGCGUCUGCUGUGAAAACGCGAGGCUCAACCUCGCGCCUGCAGUGGGUACGGGCAGACUAGAGUGCGGUAGGGGAGAUUGGAAUUCCUGGUGUAGCGGUGGAAUGCGCAGGAUAUCAGGAGGAACACCGAUGGCGAAGGCAGAUCUCUGGGCCGUAACUGACGCUGAGGAGCGAAAGCGUGGGGAGCGAACAGG
rnacentral:rRNA from 1 species